UAAAACAUAGUCAUGUGGGAUCUUGUUAGAUUCGUCUCAAUGUGUAUUUUUAAAAUAUCAACUUUUUAUAAUUUUUGCAUAAAGAGAAUUUAAUAUAUAAAUGAUCAAAGUUGUGCAUUGACAUGCGUAAAACUAACAAACGUUGCGAGUAUUAAAAGACGGAGGAAGUAUCAAAUGACAAGACCCUCUCUUAAUCUUCUUUUCUAAAUUAAAUCAAAAUAAUUCAGAAUGAAGAUACUACAUUAACAAUUCGGACCCGAUCCAAGAUUCAACUAGAUCAUUGGACCUGACCCGAGCUGAAAGUAACACGGACUUGAAUUACUCCACCCAACCUCGAUACGUGAAAUCCGUUUUACGAAUGGGCAGAAACUGAGGACUUCGUACUCCGUACUUCAUAGACCUGAAAGAGUGAAAGGUUGGUGAGUGGUGACUUCAAGGUUAGCCCAUUGAGAUAACAUUGACCCUUUUCUUAAUCAACCGAACCCUGUGUAUAGAAAAUUAAAUUCCCGCUUGUUUCUUCUGCGAAUAUCAAUGCACACAAACUGUUCGAUGAAUUGCCCCAGAGAGAGAAGUUUCAUGAUCUUCCUGGAACCUUGUUGUACUUCCUGUUUUAUCAACGAUUCCAUCUCCUAGUGUUUAUGAGAUGAAUAUUUGGCAAUUUGACCUUGUUUGCUUAGGUUUAGGGUAGUGUAAUUGGUGCAGGCGAUUAAUUUCAUACGGUUUUAGGAACUUGGAAGAUUGUAACACUCACUAAGGGUUAACUUCAAUAUUUAUUCUUUCUGGGUCUUUGCAAAAUGAUGGAUUUUGUCUUGACACAUAGUAAACAGUUUCAGGAUGGGGUUUGUCUUGAUCAUGCGUGGGAGAUGAUAAGGAAAUGAUGAACUUGAAAGAGCAUAUCCUAGUCUGCUGCAGCCUGCAGGAUAAGAUAGACAUGAGAUCAAGCGAUCAAGGUGGAAAAUGAUUUAGCUUUGGUUGUUGAGAAUGGUCGAUGGUUAAUGUUUUUAAGGCAAGCACAUGAUUACAUGAUUACAAGGGGAAAGUUACAUACUUUGUACGUUCAAUCAGUUAAACCUCGGCACUAGCAGGGAAUCUCUUGCAGGAUUGAUCAUUCAACUUCAUACGUUGCCCUAUUCUUUUUG